rnacentral:rRNA from 1 species
GGCUCAGGACGAACGCUGGCGGCGUGCCUAACACAUGCAAGUCGAACGGGACCUGGGGGCAACUCCAGGUUCAGUGGCGGACGGGUGCGUAACACGUGAGCAACCUACCCUGCAGCGGGGGAUAGCCGGCCCAACGGCCGGGUAAUACCGCGUACGUCGCCGGAGUCGCAUGGCUCUGGCGGGAAAGCGGCCGCAAGGUCGCACUGCAGGAGGGGCUCGCGGCCUAUCAGCUUGUUGGCGGGGUAAUGGCCCACCAAGGCUACGACGGGUAGCUGGUCUGAGAGGAUGGCCAGCCACAUUGGGACUGAGAUACGGCCCAGACUCCUACGGGAGGCAGCAGUGGGGAAUAUUGCGCAAUGGCCACAAGGCUGACGCAGCGACGCCGCGUGUGGGAUGACGGCCUUCGGGUUGUAAACCACUGUCGGGGGGGACGAAUACUCGGCUUCGAAUAGGAGACCGAGGGUGACGGUACCUCCAAAGGAAGCACCGGCUAACUCCGUGCCAGCAGCCGCGGUAAUACGGAGGGUGCGAGCGUUGUCCGGAAUCACUGGGCGUAAAGGGCGCGUAGGCGGCCCGCUAAGUCACUUGUGAAAUCCUGGGGCUCAACUCCAGGGCUGCAGGUGAGACUGGCAGGCUAGAGCUCGGUAGAGGCGAGUGGAAUUCCCGGUGUAGCGGUGGAAUGCGUAGAUAUCGGGAAGAACACCGGUGGCGAAGGCGGCUCGCUGGGCCGAUGCUGACGCUGAGGCGCGAAAGCGUGGGGAGCAAACAGGAUUAGAUACCCUGGUAGUCCACGCCGUAAACGAUGGGUACUAGGCGUCGGGGGGAGCGACCCUCCCGGUGCCGUCGCUAACGCAGUAAGUACCCCGCCUGGGGAGUACGGCCGCAAGGCUGAA